UACGAAGGUGGCAAGCGUUACUCGGAAUUACUAGGCGUAAAGGGCAGGUAGGUGGUCUGGUAAGUCUGUUGUGAAAGCUCCUUGCUUAACGGGGAGAGGUCAACAGAUACUGCCAGGCUUGAGUCUAGGAGAGGGUACUGGAAUUCCCGGUGUAGCGGUGAAAUGCGCAGAGAUCGGGAGGAACACCAAUGGCGAAAGCAGGUACCCGGACUAGUACUGACACUCAGCUGCGAAAGCUAGGGGAGCAAACAGG
rnacentral:rRNA from 1 species